AACGAACGCUGGCGGCAUGCCUAACACAUGCAAGUCGAACGAGACCUUCGGGUCUAGUGGCGCACGGGUGCGUAACGCGUGGGAACCUGCCUUUAGGUUCGGAAUAACUCAGAGAAAUUUGAGCUAAUACCGGAUGAUGUCUUCGGACCAAAGAUUUAUCGCCUUUAGAUGGGCCCGCGUUGGAUUAGCUAGUUGGUGGGGUAAAGGCCUACCAAGGCGACGAUCCAUAGCUGGUCUGAGAGGAUGAUCAGCCACACUGGGACUGAGACACGGCCCAGACUCCUACGCGAGGCAGCAGUGGGGAAUAUUGCACAAUGGGCGAAAGCCUGAUCCAGCAAUGCCGCGUGAGUGAUGAAGGCCUUAGGGUUGUAAAGCUCUUUUACCCGAGAUGAUAAUGACAGUAUCUGGAGAAUAAGCUCCGGCUAACUCCGUG
rnacentral:rRNA from 1 species